UACGGGGGGAGCAAGCGUUGUCCGGAAUCAUUGGGCGUAAAGCGCGUGUAGGCGGCCCGAUAAGUCCGCUGUGAAAGUCCAGGGCUCAACCCUGGGAUGCCGGUGGAUACUGUCGGGCUCGAGUCCGGAAGAGGCGAGUGGAAUUCCUGGUGUAGCGGUGAAAUGCGCAGAUAUCAGGAAGAACACCCGUGGCGAAGGCGGCUCUCUGGGACGGUACUGACGCUGAGACGCGAAAGCGUGGGGAGCGAACAGG
rnacentral:rRNA from 1 species